rnacentral:rRNA from 1 species
CGUCAUACCGAUCUCAGGCUUGAAUCGCAGAGAUCACAAAAUGCCCCGGCGCUGUAGGAUGUGGCUGCGGUUGAUUAGGUAGACGGUGGGGUAACGGCCCACCGUGCCCAUAAUCAGUACAGGUUGUGAGAGCAAGAACCUGGAGACGGAAUCUGAGACAAGAUUCCGGGCCCUACGGGGCGCAGCAGGCGCGAAACCUUUACACUGCACGCACGUGCGAUAAGGGGACUCCGAGUGCGAGGGCAUAUCGUCCUCGCUUUCGUGUACCGUAGGGUGGUACACCAACAAGGGCUGGGCAAGACCGGUGCCAGCCGCCGCGGUAAUACCGGCAGCCCGAGUGAUGGCCGAUCUUAUUGGGCCUAAAGCGUCCGUAGCUGGCUGCGCAAGUCCGUCGGGAAAUCCACUCGCCCAACGAGUGGGCGUCCGACGGAAACUGCACAGCUUGGGACCGUAAGGCUCGAAGGGUACGUUCGGGGUAGGAGUGAAAUCCCAUAAUCCCGCACGGACCACCGAUGGCGAAAGCACUUCGAGAAAACGGAUCCGACGGUGAGGGACGAAAGCCAGGGUCUCCAACCGGAUUAGAUACCCGGGUAGUCCUGGCCGUAAACAAUGUUCGCUAGGUAUGACACAGACUACGCGUCUCUGUUGUGCCGUAGGGAAGCCGAGAAGCGAACCGCCUGGGAAGUACGUCUGCAAGGAUGAAACUUAAAGGAAUUGGCGGGGGAGCACUACAACCGGAGGAGCCUGCGGUUUAAUUGGAUUC